UCCCUGAUUGUACCUGAUACAAAUUACUAAU
rnacentral:piRNA from 1 species